rnacentral:rRNA from 1 species
CGUCCCCUCUCUUCACACGAGGCGUUCGGCAGACGCCGGACAGCGAGACACGGGGGUCGGGGUCCGUGUCUCCAGCAGUCCACCCUGCUGCGGUGCGGCGGCGAGCGAAGGGCGCGGCCGCGGCGGGGGAGCGGAGGCGAGGUUGGCGUCGACUUUUACUUCUUCCGCGAAGGGGAUUUCCCGCCAAGCCGUCCGAAUUCCGUACCUUGCUUUAGAGGCUUCCUCGACCUCUCGCAGAACUUCGUCAUAAAACCCAUGAGCCUCAAAGCUCCUUCCGUCGAACUCCGGUAUCUCCGACAAGAAAGUCCUUCCCUAACGAAGACAAACUACGGUUGACCUCCACCGUUCAGUUACACGAUGGUCUAGGGACGAGAUCACUUCUGUCCGCAACAAGAACAAUAGAGCGGGAACUAUCGCGAUUACCUCUUAGUCCAAUCGUCGAACUUUUCAUUUCCUUAAGGUCGACUUAAAGAGAGAAGGUGUGUUUGUUGACGAUUGUUUUUGUUCUAUGUACUUCUAGAGCUAAGACCGUUAGGAAGAAAUUUUAACAACAUACAGUGAGGACUCAAUCAACGUUGUAGACCGAAGUUCCGUUUUAAUUGUUUCGAGGUGUUGUCCCCAGAAGAACCAGAACAACGAUAACUACUCCGAGUAACAUAAAGUUGAACCCCGGUACUAAAGUCUGGAUCGAUGGCGUUUUAAAGUAGUAACUCCUUCGUCAAGGGUCUAUAGGGCUAUAACCGAAACUGACGCUGACGACAGGGUUUUCAGGUCUUUCUACACUAUAGUAGUAACAGGAACGUUUUGGGUCAGUAAGAAUUUCGAAGGAAAUUAGCUGGAUUAUAGAAGAUACUUCAAGCAAUGUUCCUAGAAGAACUACUGCAAAUAAGACUAUAUAGCUUAAAUGACUUCAGGUCGCCUUUACAAACGAGUUAGUAUAUAACGGAACUUGCACGACGGACACUACUAGACUGAUACGUAAACCGUGUCGUCCCGUAGAGAAGACGACGAAUAGUACGACCGGACUUAUCAUUUCACGCUUGAUGGCAAGAACUACUGACCGAAAGUAGUUCCUGAGUUCAACAACAACGUUGACAUCGUAAACCUUACCCAUAACUAUCUGUUCUACAGGCGUAACACACGGUAAAGUUGAACGGAUUCAGUUACCUUAGAAAGAUGGUCCUCAGGCCUGCACGACCAGCACUGGUUGUCGGAAGGUCCUCACAAAACAUAAUACCCAAUCUCCUGGCUUCCUCUUACCUCAAAUAAAACUCUUUGUCGUCGUCAUCUUUUGUUGUCGGUAGAAGAAGAAGUUGACUCGAAAGUCUCUUCUGGGAUCGGCUGAAAUCAGUCUAUCAACUAAUAACACUCUCAAGAUCGACGGCUGCUUUUUUCUAAUAACUCUCAAAACCUCUUUUCCAUGUUGGUUGAAAUACGGUUGCGUGCACGCUACGAACGUUCGUGGGUUUAGUUCACAGGAGCGCAAACCUCCUGGAAGCCGCACACGGGUUGACAGCGAAAUUGUUCUAUAGAGGUCAGAAGUUUUCGAGUAGUCAACUGGGUUUUGUGAAACUGUGCCUUAAAACCUUGGCACUUCUACUGCAUUCGUAUAGUCUGCUUCUAUAUAGUCUAAGACUACUACUCCUUCUCCGUCACUCGUUAUAGCGGUAAAGUUUCGAAGGUAGUUUUCCUCCCAAACUUCGUUCUGAACUACGGAACCUCGCACGACUUUUACGAAUGUUAGUUCGGUUACCAGUUUGAUUUGGCGUCCCACCGUUGGAACAACUGUUCUUCUCGUAUAGAGUCUGAGAUUCUCUACGUUCGUCCUUUUCUAACAGCCCACGCGAACCUGUUCGUUUCGAGGCAGAACCCCUAGACGACAAACGACUUCUCCGAAGACGAUGUGUGGAACUUUGGCUCACGAAGUUCUUCAUAGUCUUUCACCCUUUCUGCAAGAUGUUGAGGGUCUAUCGACGGUGCCAAGCCACCGACAGCAGAAGUUGAAGACUGGUUUAGGUGCCGGCUGAACUUCGGGAAUGGUUGGUCUGAUGUCUUCGACCACGUCGGUGGUCGAGAGGAACGUAGUAAAGACUACGAAACCCGUUUCGACUUUUCGGUCGUCUUCGAUGUCAUUCGGUUCUCGAGCGCUUUUGGCUCGAAAGACUACUCAAACGUUUCUGGUACCGAAGUUGACUUUUGUACCUCGGAAGGGCCUACAGUGGUGGACUCUUUUGUUAUCUGCUUCUUCGCUCCUCUCUACCGCGCUAGCCAUGGUACCUGGAAGGGUUCUAUGGUAGUAAGUCUCUUAAGUACUCGGUCUUCCCUUCCCUAGCGCGUUGGUCAAGAAGAUCCCGUCUCUCGGUCGGAGCGCCGUAAGGAUCUUUCCGACCGGGACAGUAGUCGUUCCUUCCUUGCUGUCCUUGUAGUUUCUUCUACUUUGAUACUCACUGAUGAAGAGACAAAAUGUACGACUGAAGGAGGGUUUUAAGGUGUCAUCCUUAUACUGAUCUCAAAAACGACUAUGUCAUUAGUUUGUGACGUCACGACGAAGAGUUACUUUCUAUAGGAGAGAAUUUUCCUCUUCGACGCUUAGUUUGAAAGUGUCAUCCUUACACUGAUCUUAAAAACGAAUGUCAUUAGUUUGUGACGACGAAGAGUCACUCCGGAACAAGCCAAUUCGGUGAGGGGUUCACCUAACCUCACCUUACCUCCCCUAAACCCCCUUUAAACUUGAUCUACUCUAAAUUAGGGACAGUUAGGGAGAGUAAACAGUACUUUGGCUUGUUACGGAUUUUCUAAAGGAGAUUAUUCUCCUUUUGUACUCUUAUAAAACGUUGAUUACGGAACACAUAGAGUCACUUUCUAAAGGAGAGAGUUUCCUCUUGCACUCUUGGACACUCUUCUCAACACGGUCUAUAGUAUAGACUCUUUUCAACACUGUUCGCAAC